rnacentral:misc_RNA from 1 species
GAUGAAGAACGCAGCGAAAUGCGAUAAGUAAUGCGAAUUGCAGAAUUCCAGUGAGUCAUCGAAUCUUUGAACGCACAUUGCGCCCUUUGGUAUUCCGAAGGGCAUGCCUGUUCGAGCGUCAUUAUCACCCCUCAAGCCCUCGGCUUGGUGUUGGACGGUUUGGUGGAGGCCCCCUCGGGGGCUCCUGCCCCUCCCAAAGACAAUGACGGCGGCCUCGUUGGACCCCCGGUACACUGAGUUCUUCACGGGACACGUAUCGGACACAUGGGUUUACGGGGCACGGUCUGCCUCCCCUCAGGGAGAAUCUUUCUAAGGUUGACCUCGGAUCAGGUAGGGAUACCCGCUGAACUUAAGCAUAUCAAUAAGCGGAGGA